rnacentral:rRNA from 1 species
UACGGGGGGGGGCAAGCGUUGUUCGGAAUUACUGGGCGUAAAGGGCUGGUAGGCGGCCAACUAAGUCGGAUGUGAAAUCCCCAGGCUUAACCUGGGAACUGCAUCCGAUACUGGUCGGCUUGAAUCCGGGAGAGGGAUGCAGAAUUCCAGGUGUAGCGGUGAAAUGCGUAGAUAUCUGGAGGAAUACCGGUGGCGAAGGCGGCAUCCUGGACCGGCAUUGACGCUGAUGAGCGAAAGCUAGGGGAGCAAACGGGG